GCAAACAUAGUUUAACUAAAACACCAGAUUGUGAUUCUAGAAAUAAAGGUUAAAAUCCUUUUGUUUACC
rnacentral:tRNA from 1 species